rnacentral:misc_RNA from 1 species
CCGAGUUUACAACUCCCAAACCCGAUGUGAACAUUACCUCGACGUUGCCUCGGCGGGACCGCCCCGGCGCCCUCACCGGCACCGGAACCAGGCGCCCGCCGCAGGGACCCAAACCUCUGUUUUAUUAUGAAUUCUCCUCUGAGUGGAUUUUAUACAAAUAAAUCA